UAAAAUGUAAGCACCUGCUGAGUAACU
rnacentral:piRNA from 1 species